rnacentral:tRNA from 1 species
GGAGGAGUGGCCGAGCGGUCUAAGGCAGCGGACUUGAAAUCCGUCGUGGGGGUGACUCCACCGAGGGUUCGAAUCCCUCCUCCUCCG